AGAGUUUGAUCCUGGCUCAGGACGAACGCUGGCGGCGUGCCUAAUACAUGCAAGUCGAGCGCGGGAAGCAAGCUGAUCCUCUUCGGAGGUGACGCUUGUGGAACGAGCGGCGGACGGGUGAGUAACACGUGGGCAACCUGCCUGUAAGACUGGGAUAACCCCGGGAAACCGGGGCUAAUACCGGAUAAUACUUUUCAUCACCUGAUGGAAAGUUGAAAGGUGGCUUCUUGCUACCACUUACAGAUGGGCCCGCGGCGCAUUAGCUAGUUGGUGAGGUAACGGCUCACCAAGGCAACGAUGCGUAGCCGACCUGAGAGGGUGAUCGGCCACACUGGGACUGAGACACGGCCCAGACUCCUACGGGAGGCAGCAGUAGGGAAUCUUCCGCAAUGGACGAAAGUCUGACGGAGCAACGCCGCGUGAGUGAUGAAGGUUUUCGGAUCGUAAAGCUCUGUUGUUAGGGAAGAACAAGUGCCGUUCGAAUAGGGCGGCACCUUGACGGUACCUAACCAGAAAGCCCCGGCUAACUACGUGCCAGCAGCCGCGGUAAUACGUAGGGGGCAAGCGUUGUCCGGAAUUAUUGGGCGUAAAGCGCGCGCAGGCGGUCCUUUAAGUCUGAUGUGAAAGCCCACGGCUUAACCGUGGAGGGUCAUUGGAAACUGGAGGACUUGAGUACAGAAGAGGAGAG
rnacentral:rRNA from 1 species